rnacentral:rRNA from 1 species
GUAGGGAAUAUUGCGCAAUGGACGAAAGUCUGACGCAGCGACGCCGCGUGAGUGAUGAAGGCCUUAGGGUCGUAAAGCUCUGUUGAAUGGGAAGAAAAAAAUGACGGUACCAUUCGAGGAAGGACCGACUAACUUCGUGCCAGCAGCCGCGGUAAUACGAGGGGUCCUAGCGUUGUUCGGAAUCAUUGGGCGUAAAGGGUGUGUAGGUGGCCAUGUAAGUCAGGUGUGAAAGCCCCGGGCUCAACCCGGGAAGUGCACUUGAUACUGCGUGGCUUGAGUACCGAAGAGGGUAGUGGAAUUCCAGGUGUAGUGGUGAAAUACGUAGAUAUCUGGAGGAACACCGGUGGCGAAGGCGGCUACCUGGUCGAGUACUGACACUGAGACACGAAAGCAUGGGGAUCAAACAGGAUUAGAAACCCCAGUAGUCC